AAGAAAAAAAAAAGAAGCAGUGCUACAGUCGUACUAGACGCUGGAAUGGCUUGUAUUGGUUGAACUUUUCUUAUUUUUCAGAUUCAAAAAUCUGUUUGCUCUACAAAGUCGAUGAGUGCAUCUAAUCAGUUCUGCAGCACCAUGGUGAACGUUGGGAGGUGUUGGCACGGAAGACGGAGAGGGAAAAGGUUCACGACAACUAUGCGGUGAGAAGGGUAUCAACGGAUUGUGCAUUUACAGUUAGCGGGUGAGCCCACACUGUACCUCGUAGGAGAACCUGGCCAUGGGUAUUGGAGAAUGCAUAUCGUAUGUCGGGAUCGUGCUUGGCCUUGAACACUGACUCUGCUCGAUCACGGGUUCCAAAUUGGUCAUUACGUUACCGGCGGCUUGCCAGCAAUCAGCAUUGGGUGUUCUUUUUCCGUUCAGUUUUUCCUAACGUCCUUCUGUGUAUAAAGUGCCUUCCAUUAACUUCUCCCGACAACAAGUUGGAGUUACUUCUAGCACGGAUUAUGAUGGUGCUGUUGCUGAAGAGGAAAGUUGUGUUGCCUGGUUGCACUGGAC